UACGUAGGGUGCAAGCGUUGUCCGGAAUUAUUGGGCGUAAAGAGCUCGUAGGCGGUCUGUCGCGUCGGCUGUGAAAACUCGGGGCUCAACUCCGAGCUUGCAGUCGAUACGGGCAGGCUAGAGUUCGGCAGGGGAGACUGGAAUUCCUGGUGUAGCGGUGAAAUGCGCAGAUAUCAGGAGGAACACCGGUGGCGAAGGCGACUUCCUGGACAGAUACUGACACUGAGGCACGAAAGCAUGGGGAGCAAACAGG
rnacentral:rRNA from 1 species